UACGUAGGUGGCAAGCGUUAUCCGGAUUUACUGGGUGUAAAGGGCGUGUAGGCGGGAGUGCAAGUCAGAUGUGAAAACCACGGGCUCAACCUGUGGCCUGCAUUUGAAACUGUACUUCUUGAGUACUGGAGAGGCAGACAGAAUUCCUAGUGUAGCGGUGAAAUGCGUAGAUAUUAGGAGGAACACCAGUGGCGAAGGCGGUCUGCUGGACAGCAACUGACGCUGAGGCGCGAAAGCGUGGGGAGCAAACAGG
rnacentral:rRNA from 1 species